AAUUCAGCUCCCAUCUCUGCCAAUAUAUGAAUUCUAAAAAACCAGGUGUAUUCAUUUAGUGUCUGGCUUAUGAAAAAACACAGGGUUUUUUGGUUUUUUUUCCAAUGAAGCUUCUCUACAGUUUGGGCUGUUGUAAGUCAUUGGCCUGGAGCACAUCUCUAAAGAGAAAAUUAAUUACAGUUGUCUGCUGGGUGUUGAAUGUUUGUCACUGGGACUAAAUCCAGUACACCCAUGGAUCUCCAGGCCACUGGACACAGGAACAAUGAAGGCUGCAUUUGAAAGUACUACAUUUUCAAGAGGGAAGGGAAAGAUACGUGUUCAAUGUCAGUUCUCUGCUGAAGCACAGUGUGUUGCUCUGUGAAGAACCCACAGAGCAGAGGUAUGGCAUUUCCAAAAUUAGCGCUCCCCUUCACGCAGAAUUAGUCUUCUGGGAAUUAAUUUCUUCCCUCACUCCCUGAAAUGUGCAACAAAUAU